CACACACGUGCAUGUAGUCAUCAUGUUAUACUAAAGUACUUCUUCCUCUCAUCAGGUGAAAAGUGGGACUUGUCUUCAGCUUCAGGUGGAACAGCUCUGACCUGUAUGGUGAUCAGACGCGGAGAGGAGAGACACCUGGUCCAACAAGGUGACGGACGAGCGAGACGAGCUGAACCCUGGAGACGAAGCAGAAGGAAAACUGAGUAUCUGUGUCCGUCUUCUGAUGACAACUCCUUCACUACAGUUUCACCUCCUCAGACAGUGAGCACUGUUGUCUUUUACUGGCUAUUUACGUAAUAAACCCUUUUGUGAAUUACA